GGAUGCGAUCAUACCAGCACUAACACACCAGAUCCCAUCAGAAAUCCAAAGUUAAGCGUGCAUGGGCGAGAGUAGUACUAAGAUGGGUGACCUGUCACUAGGAACUCCUCAUGUUGCAUCCC
rnacentral:rRNA from 1 species